AGUUCGAUUAUGGCUCAGAUUGAACGCUUGUGAUGCUUUACACAUGCAAGUCGAACGGCAGCACGGACUUCGGUCUGGUGGCAAAUGGCGAACGGGUGAGUAAUGUAUCGGAACGUGCCUAGUAGCGGGGGAUAACUACGCGAAAGCGUAGCUAAUACCACAUACGCCCUUCGGGGAAAGCGGGGACCUUCGGGCCUCGCACUAUUAGAGCAGCCGAUAUCGGAUUAGCUAGUUGGUGGGGGUAACGGCUCGCAAGGCGACGAUCCGUAGCUGGUUUGAGAGGACGACCAGCCACACUGGGACUGAGACACGGCCCAGACUCUACGGGAGGCAGCAGUGGGGAAUUUUGGACAAUGGGGAAACCUGAUCAGCCAUCCCGCGUGUGCGAUGAAGGCCUUCCGGGUUGUAAAGCACUUUUGGCAGGAAAGAAACAGCACAGGAUAAUACCCCUGCAACUGACAGUACCUGCAGAAUAAGCACCGGCUAACUACGUGCGCAGCAGCCGCGGUAAUACGUAGGGGUGCAGCGUUAAUCGGAAUUACUGGGCGUAAAGCGUGCGCGAGCGGUUCGGAAGAAAGAUGUGAAAUCCCAGAGCUUAACUUUGGAACUGCAUUUUUAACUACCGAGCUAGAGUGUGUCAGAGGAGGUGGAAUUCCGUGUAGCAGUGAAAUGCGUAGAUAUGCGGAGGGGCACCGAUGGUGAAGGCAGCCUCCUGGGAUAACACUGACGCUCAUGCACGAAAGCGUGGGGAGCAAACAGGAUUAGAUACCCUGGUAGUCCACGCCUAAACGAUGUCAACUAGCUGUUGGGGCCUUCGGGCCUUGGUAGCGCAGCUAACGCGUGAAGUUGACCGCCUGGGGGCUACGAUGCAGAUUAAAACUCAAAAGGAAUUGGCGGGGACCCGCACAAGCGGUGGAUGAUGUGGAUUAAUUCGAUGCAACGCGAAAAACCUUACCUACCCUUGACAUGUCUGGAAUCCCGAAGAGAUUUGGGAGUGCUCGCAAGAGAACCGGAACACAGGUGCUGCAUGGCUGUCGUCAGCUCGUGUCGUGAGAUGUUGGGUUAAGUCCCGCAACGAGCGCAACCCUUGUCAUUAGUUGCUACGAAAGGGCACUCUAAUGAGACUGCCGGUGACAAACCGGAGGAAGGUGGGGAUGACGUCAAGUCCUCAUGGCCCUUAUGGGUAGGGCUUCACACGUCAUACAAUGGUCGGGACAGAGGGUCACCAGCCCGCGAGGGGAGCCAAUCCAGAAACCCGAUCGUAGUCCGGAUCUUGAUCUGCAACUCGACUGCGUGAAGUCGGAAUCGCUAGUAAUCGCGGAUCAGCAUGUCGCGGUGAAUACGUUCCCGGGUCUUGUACACACCGCCCGUCACACCAUGGGAGUGGGUUUUACCAGAAGUAGUUAGCCUAACCGUAAGGAGGGCGAUUACCACGGUAGGAUUCAUGACUGGGGUGAAGUCGUAACAAGGUAG
rnacentral:rRNA from 1 species